CUCUAUUUAAACAUGUUGAUGAACUGAGCUAGAUUUCUCCCCACCUUCAUUCCAGCGAAACAAGGAGACCCAGAAUGUAAAAUUUGUUUUGUUAUUGCAACUAGAGUUAUGUGGUACAGUAUUAAACAGGAGAUGUGAACUCACCAUAGCAACCCCUGCAUCACAUUGCAGAUAUGCUGCUUCUAAGAUACGGCAAACAUUUCUGAAGAAACACAGCUGAAUAUCAGAAGGUUAUUUAUAUUUGGGGUGAGGAAUGAUGCACAGCAACAGAAUGGAUGGUGCCUGGUGUUGCUGUGAAUUGUUGAUAUACCCUGGUCCGAGGAGUACAGCCCUGAGUCCUCUAGCUGGGCAUCUGUUAU